UCACAGUUUGCACUGGCAGUCUUGUUAGAGUUCCCGACUUGACUCGCUGGCAACUAACAACAGGGGUUGCGCUCGUUAUAGGACUUAACCUGACACCUCACGGCACGAGCUGACGACAACCAUGCAGCACCUUGUAAAUUGUCUUGCGAAAGAUCUGUUUCCAAACCGGUCAAUCUACAUUUAAGCCUUGGUAAGGUUCUUCGCGUUGCAUCGAAUUAAACCACACGCUCCGCCGCUUGUGCGGGCCCCCGUCAAUUCCUUUGAGUUUUAAUCUUGCGACCGUACUCCCCAGGCGGAUAACUUAAUGCGUUAGCUGCGCCACCCAGAUUCCAUGAACCCGGACAGCUAGUUAUCAUCGUUUACAGCGUGGACUAC
rnacentral:misc_RNA from 1 species